rnacentral:piRNA from 1 species
UCCGAAUCUGCCGUUUGGCUUAACUUUGCUCC